GGGUGGGCUGGUCUGUUGGGAUCACAAGCAGAUUUAUUUUUUCAAAUGGGGGUGGGGUGGGGGAGGCGGGCCCUGGGGCAGGUGAAGGUGGGAGCGAGGGGUGAGACCACAGCCACUUCGUGGACUGGGUCCCAGGAGCCAGCACCUCCCCUCACGGGUUUCUGCCUAGCAGAAGUGCACGGCUUUGGUUACAGCCGACAUCCACCAAGGCUUCCCGGCAGAGUGCGCACACGUGUGGAGCCCCGUGACCCCUGGAGCAGGCGCCGUCCCGGGCCAGCCACCAGGGCAUUGGCUGCAGGAUCCCCUUCCAUAUGGGACAGGAACAGGCACACUCGGAGUUACGGGAAAGUCAGGAACCUGAGGCUCUUCCCACCGAGCUACACCCAGAGGCGACCACCCUGGGCGCUGGACGUCAGCGCCCUGUCCGUCCUUCCUGCCUGUGCUUAGACGGAAGCCUCGGGGGCUGGGGGCUGUGACGUGGCUGCCGUGACACUGGCGUCCCCUAUCUGAGUGCUGGUUGAGUCGUGGCCGUGCUGCUGCAGGUCCAGCUCCCUGCUAACGUGCCUCGGAAGGCAGUGGAUGCUGGCCCAAGAACUUGGGCCCCUGACACCCCCAUAGGAGGCCAGGAUGGAGUUCCUGGCUCCUGGCUUUGGCCUGGCCCAACUAUGGAGAAUGAAUCAGCAGAUAGAAGAUCCCCUCCCCCCGUCUCCUCCCUGCCUUCCCAUCUCUGUCGCCCUGACUUUCAAAUGAGUAAAUAAAUCUUAAAAACAAAACGAA